AAACUAUUUGGAGUAGAAUCCCUUUUCCUGGUUCCAUGUCUUCUCCGCCCUCUAAUGGCAACGUCCAAGCUCUGCACUAACCUUCGCCGUCUUCGUCCAUCUCGUGUUUACUCCUGCGCUUCCCUUUCUUAUCCUAUCGCCUCUCGACUUCACGAAGCUCACACACUCCCAACCUCUCAUCAUCACUCAUUCCCCAGGCCAACCCAUCGCUUUGAUCAUCAUAUAAGCUCUAUUGGUGCUCUCACCGCCUUCUCCUCUCGGUCCUUGUGGACUCGUUCUGACGAUGAUUCGGAGUUUCAACGAACUGACCUUUUUGCAAGCCGCCUCUCCGACGACGAUACGGGCAUCCAGUCAGGGAUUCAAGACUUGGAACUUGGAGGAGUUGUUGAGGAAGUCAUUAAUGCGACUGCUGUGGAGGACUCAAUUUUACCGACUCAGCAAUUGACUUCGAUGCUGGAUGGGUUUCAUCAGUAUACCGGACUGCCCUGGUGGGCAGUUAUUGCCUCGUCAACUUUAGCUCUCAGAUUCACGUUGCUGCCCUUACUCAUUGUUCAACUCAACAAGUUGAAAAGGAUUGGAGAGUUGUUUCCUAAGUUGCCACCUCCACUGCCGCCACCUCUAUCAGGACGGAGUUACAUCAACCAACUUUCUCUUUUCCGAAAGGAAAGAAAGGCAAUUGGAUGCCCAUCAUUUCUGUGGUUCGUUGCAUACUUUUCCAUUCAGGUCCCAUGCUUUCUAUUGUGGAUGGUUACUAUCCGGAAAAUGUCACUUAAUCAUCAUCCUGGAUUUGACUGUGGUGGUGCUUUAUGGUUUCAAAAUCUAACAGAGUAUCCACAUGGAGUUUUAGGCCCCAUAUUUCCACUUCUAGUUGCCAGUUUGCACUUCAUUAAUGUUCAGGUGUCUUUCAGAAAAUCAUCUUUGGAAAAAGCAACUGGUAUAUUUGGCAUUUUAGCUAAAUACUACAAACUCUACUUGAAUCUACUGACUGUACCACUGUUUUUUAUUGGUUACUGUAUUCCUCAGGGUAGUCUAGUCUAUUGGGUUACGAAUAGUUCGUUCACUGCAAUUCAGCAAUUAACCCUCCAACAUCCUGCUGUACGCAGUAAAUUGGGAUUGCCUUUCAAGGAUGCUCCUGUGGGCACUGCAACUCUCAGAGAAACCAAUGAUCCAGGCAAACUACCGUUGGAUACGCCCACUAAGUGGAAAAAAAUUUAUGUAGAGAAGCUGUCUCCUAAGGAAUUGCUUGCUCUUUCCGUUCAACUCCUAUCAAAAGGGCAAAAAGAAAAGGCUAUUCCUUUACUGCGACAGGCACUUAACAAGGAUCCUGAGUAUGUUCGAGCUUUGAUUGUCAUGGGACAAACUCUGUUACAAAAUGGGCAACCUGCAGAGGCUAUUGCAUUCUUAGAGCGUGCAAUUUCCAAGUUAUUUCUUUCCGGUCAUCCCACAGAAGCUGAGGGUGAAGAUCUUCUAAUUCUUGCAUCCCAAUGGGCCGGUGUUGCCAGUAUAAGGCAGGGGAAAAUGGUAGAAGGCAUUGCUCACCUGGAAAGAAUUGCAAAUAUGAAAGAGCCAGAAGAACCAAAGAGCAAAGCCCAUUAUUACGAUGGAUUGGUUCUGCUAGCAAGUGCUCUUUACAAUGAAGGUCGUAAGGCUGAAGCUACCAAAUACUUACAGUCAGCUGCAGCUUAUAAUCCUGCCUACAAGGAAUACUUGGAUCAAUGCGAGGACGACAAUGAUAAAUUAGUGGGCGAUCUUGUCAGCAGCCGGAGAGGAGAUUAUUGAUUCACUUCCCCUUUCGAAACAUGACUGACUUUUCUUUGAUGUUAUUUAUGAAUAAUCCAACAGAGCAAAUCCAGGAGUUUCAACAGAGCAAAUGUGUCCAAAAUUGGACGAACCCUGAAGCUGAUGGCAAUGACAUUAUAUCUCCCACAUUCAAUUGGUUAGAUUACAGUUGUGAAAUAAACUGAGAUAUGCUUUCAGCCUGAACUUUUGUGCUUCUUUAUAUGAAGUUUGACCGUCAGAAGGAUGAUGAGGGUGGAUUUUGGUUUGUGAAUUAGGUUUCUUAAUUCAGUGUUUAUCUAUAAUAUUUGAUCCAUAUUA